rnacentral:rRNA from 1 species
UAACCUGCCCAAGAGAUCGGGAUAACACCUGGAAACAGAUGCUAAUACCGGAUAACAACAGAUGAUGCCUAUCAACUGUUUAAAAGAAUGGUUCUGCUAUCACUCUUGGAUGGACCUGCGGUGCAUUAGCUAGUUGGUAGGGUAACGGCCUACCAAGGCGAUGAUGCAUAGCCGAGUUGAGAGACUGAUCGGCCACAUUGGGACUGAGACACGGCCCAAACUCCUACGGGAGGCAGCAGAC